GGCGCUUUUAAAUACAAAUAUUCAAGAUGUUUUCCUUGAAGGUAGAAUAAUAUUUCAGACAGUGCGAGCGAAAAAACAUAUAGGUAGAUUCUUUGUAUCGGCCAAUGAAUAGAAAGUUGUUGAAACAGCGUUGAAGCGAAAACAAGCUUUUGAUGAAAAAUUCGACAGGACCAAAAGAGCAUGCUGUUUCAGUCAGUUACGGCUUGACAGAGUGGCAACUCGGAGUAAUUGCCGGAAGACCAUCCAAAAGCAACUCCAAAUUGUUAACUGAAUUUAAGUUGGGCACGAAAAUGGAAAAUGGUCCCUUGCUGGCCGACGAUUUUCCAGACCCGAAUAGUUUGAUGAUCCUGACUGGCGAGCAUGGAAAAUUGGAAUAUUUGCCGCAACGAUCCUUGAUAAUUGUUCUGUGAAAACCUGAAAUUGUGUCCACUUGGAUAGUUUUGUUGAUAAAUGCGCUGAAUGGAUCACAAAUAUAUUACACACAUAAGUGAGAGAAGAGUCAAUUAUUAAAAACAAUAAAUUUCUUAAUAUCGACAAAUAUACGAGCAAAGCAAAAAAGGAAAGAGAAGAACAAUCGCUAAUGUACAUUUUUGUGCUCUCAUGCACGGAUGUUGUGCCAUUUCAGCUUUAAUUUUUUCGGUCUCCUAUAUUUGUCUCAAAAAAAUUACUUGAACUGUACAGCCACGGACUUCUAAUAUAUUUAACUUCAAUCAA